GAGAUACUCCCUCCGUCCAAAAAUACUUGUAAUCAAAAUGGAUAAAAAGAGAAGUAUCUAGAACUAAAAUACAUCUAGCUACAUCCCCUUCGAUCCAUUUUGAUGACAAGUAUUUCUGGACGGAGGGAGUAGCUC
rfam:Triticum aestivum genome assembly, contig: Triticum_aestivum_CS42_TGACv1_scaffold_271635_3DS